UGCAUUCAAAAUAAAGAUCUUUGUUUAAUCAUUUCAAUCUAUAAACAUUUAUCAGCGCCUCAAUUUGUUUGAAAUUCAACUCUAGUACAAAAUGCUGAUACUGAAAGACAGAGACAACCAGAAAAAUAAGGUCCAUCUGUUUCUAUGUCCGAAGGUUCAAGAGGGUGUCAUGUGACCAGCACAUUUUCUUCAACCAAAUUCAAACCCCAUUAGAGUUGGGUGGACGCAAGGUGGUCCUAAAAAAAAUCCUAAAAGUUCAAAAUCCCACUUAAUCAUCCGUCCUUCCCCCCCCCCCCCCCA